rnacentral:rRNA from 1 species
UACGUAGGCAGCGAGCGUUGUUCGGAAUUACUGGGCGUAAAGCGUGCGCAGGCGGUUUUGUAAGCCAGAUGUGAAAGCCCCGGGCUUAACCUGGGAAUGGCAUUUGGGACUGCAAGGCUGGAGUUUGGCAGAGGAGACUGGAAUUCCUGGUGUAGCAGUGAAAUGCGUAGAGAUGCGGAGGAACACCGAUGGCGAAGGCAGCCCCCUGGGCUAACACUGACGCUCAGGCACGAAAGCGUGGGGAGCAAACAGG